rnacentral:tRNA from 1 species
UCCCUGAAUGUCCAGUGGUUAGGGCUCUGUACUUCUAAUGCAGGUGUCAUGGGUUCUAUCCCUGGUCAGGGAA